GAUGAACGCUGGCGGCGUGCCUAAUACAUGCAAGUCGAGCGAACAGACGAGGAGCUUGCUCCUCUGACGUUAGCGGCGGACGGGUGAGUAACACGUGGAUAACCUACCUAUAAGACUGGGAUAACUUCGGGAAACCGGAGCUAAUACCGGAUAAUAUAUUGAACCGCAUGGUUCAAUAGUGAAAGACGGUUUUGCUGUCACUUAUAGAUGGAUCCGCGCCGCAUUAGCUAGUUGGUAAGGUAACGGCUUACCAAGGCAACGAUGCGUAGCCGACCUGAGAGGGUGAUCGGCCACACUGGAACUGAGACACGGUCCAGACUCCUACGGGAGGCAGCAGUAGGGAAUCUUCCGCAAUGGGCGAAAGCCUGACGGAGCAACGCCCCGUGAGUGAUGAAGGUCUUCGGAUCGUAAAACUCUGUUAUUAGGGAAGAACAAAUGUGUAAGUAACUAUGCACGUCUUGACGGUACCUAAUCAGAAAGCCACGGCUAACUACGUG
rnacentral:rRNA from 1 species